rnacentral:rRNA from 2 species
CCGUUCGCGGCUGGACUAUUUAUUACCCUUGUCUUUUGCGCACUUGUUGUUUCCUGGGCGGGUUCGCUCGCCACCAGGACCACAAUAUAAACCUUUUUUAUGCAGUUGCAAUCAGCGUCAGUAUAACAAAUGUAAAUCAUUUACAACUUUCAACAACGGAUCUCUUGGUUCUGGCAUCGAUGAAGAACGCAGCGAAAUGCGAUACGUAGUGUGAAUUGCAGAAUUCAGUGAAUCAUCGAAUCUUUGAACGCACAUUGCGCCCUUUGGUAUUCCAAAGGGCAUGCCUGUUCGAGCGUCAUUUGUACCCUCAAGCUUUGCUUGGUGUUGGGCGUUUUUGUCUUUGGCCCGCCAAAGACUCGCCUUAAAAUGAUUGGCAGCCGGCCUACUGGUUUCGCAGCGCAGCACAUUUUUGCGCUUGCAAUCAGCAAAAGAGGACGGCAAUCCAUCAAGACUCCUUCUCACGUUUGACCUCGGAUCAGGUAGGGAUACCCGCUGAACUUAAGCAUAUCAAUAAGCGGAGGAA